ACUCCUACGGGAGGCAGCAGUAGGGAAUCUUCCGCAAUGGACGAAAGUCUGACGGAGCAGCGCCGCGUGAGCGAGGAAGGCCUUCGGGUCGUAAAGCUUUGUUGUUAGGGAAGAACAAGUACCGGAGUAACUGCCGGUACCUUGACGGUACCUAACCAGAAAGCCACGGCUAACUACGUGCCAGCAGCCGCGGUAAU
rnacentral:rRNA from 1 species